UAGAAAACUCAUUUUCCAUCUCCCAGACCCAAACCUAGUUAGCUGCACCUCUUCUUCGAUGCUCUUCCACCUUCGUUGGUCUUCCAUAUCGGUCUACAAACCAACAACCAAAGCCGGGUCAAGUCAAGUUCUUCAAGGAAAUAGAAAUUGAAGUGUAGAGAAGACAGUACGAAGAGAGAGAAAGUAGAUCUGGUUUCUCAAUUCUCCAUCUUCUACCUCCGAGCAUCAUCCGGCGACAUCGCCACUACCAAUGGACUCUUCGGCCUCCAAUUAGUUGACCCAGGCUGCGUCAUCCAACGAUAUCGAAAAUCAGCACCACAUGCUUCCGAAUGCGAGUCCGGAUCUACACCCAACAGAGAUCACAGAAUCGGGAGCGAUUUGGGGAUUUAGGGUUUCAAAAUCGAAAGAGUCAUCGUUUUCGAAAUGGCGUUGGGCAAGGUGAAGGAGCUCGUCUCGUCCAAUCCGGUAGUCAUCUUCAGCAACAAGCUUUGUCCUCACUGUGUUUGCGUGAAGCAGCUCUUCGUUCUAAAAUUGGGAGUCCAGUACAAGGCCAUUGAAUUGGACCAAGAGAUGUCUGUCUAUAUGCUUCAAACUAAGUUGACAAAACAUGUUUGUGGCAUAUGCAAGAAGUGGAAUCAGCCUGACAGUGGAAGUUGGGUUGUUGAAGGCCCUUGUGACUCUGUGCCUAUUCCUGACGGGGCAGCUCUAUCAGCAUUUUAGAACUUCGAAAACGUCAGAAAUUUCCUUGUGGCUGUGGAGGAAUUGGGGCUUCCAACCUUUGAAGCCUCUGAUUUGGAACAGGGAACCAAAUUUUGAGUCCUUGUAACCUAAUAAGGACGCUUAAAAUUUUGAACAGCUCGGCCCUUGGCUAUAAUGAGAAAUGUUUAGAAGCCUUCUCUCCUUUUGAGACGUGAACAAAAUAAACAAAGAAAACAGAAGAACCUCUUCUGCUCUCCACUUCGUCUUCUCCGGUUCUCUCUCUCGAUCGAGUGAGAGCUAUAUUCAUGAAAUCACCUCUGAAUCCUAGAUCAGCGACCAUUCAACAUCGAACCCCUUGUCAUCUCCGUGUAUGAAUAAAAUCUUCUCUUUUGCACACACAUGCUACCAAAUCCCUUGUUUGUUUCUGGUUUCAGCUAGAGCAAAUGGAGCAGCAACUUGAGAAAUUUCUUGAUUUUGUACAGUUGAGGGCUGCAGAGAGAAUCAAGAAGAGUAGUACUUGGUGGAGAGAUGGAUUCGGCCUUGGAAACAGAGGGAUCAAAUGUAUAUGAUAGAUGGUGAGAAGGGAGUGAGUCAUGGGAAUAAGCACAAGAUUCUUAGAGUUUCAGUUAGUAAAAUCAUUAUCAUUUCUGCAACUCUUAGAGUCUGCUUAAAGAAGCUUUCUGGAUAAAAUGGUGAAGCUGUUUAUCUGCGCAGAUAUCCGUAAUUUCCUUAAUGUGGCUAGUGGAUGAUGAUGUUGUACAAGAUUAUGAUUACCAAUGUUGUUUGGUUCUUUUAUACUGAAAAAUGGUUUCAACAAUGAAGAAGUCGAUCUUUGAUGAACAAACUAAGAAGGCUUUAAGGAAAUUGCAAAAGAAUGCUCAAAAGAAGAGAAGGCAUCAUGACGUGGUUCGAGCUGAAUGGGCAAAUCAUGUUAUACAGUUCUAACUUUGGUUCUGUUUAAGUUGCUCUGUCUAUGACUGGACCCGCCCCAGGAUUUCACCCUGAAAUCCGAAGUGGCCCUGCGAGGUCCACCUUAGAAGAAAUUCUUCCAAAAAUUUGGCAGAACUUCCC